UGGCUUGUAUCUUUAAAGGUGAAGUUGAAGUUGCAUGUUUGUAAACCUUGCAAUUAGUGUUGAGUUGCUGUAGCUUUAAAGAAGCAUUACCGAAUGGGGUUUGUGGACAUUGCUCAAAGGCUUUCUGCUUCUUGCAAAUGCACUGGCAAUACCGAAUGGGGUUGUGGACAUUGCUCAAUAUCUGAGAACACCCCUCUCAAUGCUAUUACCAACCUUGUAAAGCUCGUUUUUGGAUGAGAUUUAGCUUGGAUUUUCUGUUUGUGGGUUAAUUUGAGAAACAAUAUUUUUGUGGCCUGUAUUGUUCGUGACAUUUGACGUUGUUUACAUUUGCCGUUGAAUUAUGUAUCAGCUAGCAAUUAUGUAUGAAAAAAUUGGAGAUAGAAAAUUAGUGAAUGACUGUCAGGUGUUUUGCUAA